rnacentral:misc_RNA from 1 species
GAUGCUGCAGCCUCUUCGCACGGUUUGUUUUGGAUAAUUUGGUGCAUUUUCUGAUUUGGUUUUUAUUGAAAGUUUGCAUGGAUUUAUGUGGAGUUGGCUUUAAUUAUGAAGAACCAUAGAUGUGGUUCUGUUUUGUUUUGGUACUAAGUAAAUAGAAAUUAAAAUUUUCCAGUUUUAGAUCCUUUUCUCUUCUGAACUUUUUUAGCUACCAGAUUUCAGGGCUUUCAUGGGAAGGUUUAACUAGUGGAAAAAAGUUAAUAAAAUUGGCAUAUAUUAGAAAUAAAAACUUCUAAUAACAUUGGUCUGGACAGUAUUGUUUCUAGGAUUUUUUAAUAAUUAACAAUUAGAGCAAGGUCAUUAUAUACAAUGGAAAAUGCAGGACGCAUUGAUGCAAAAGAAAUUUGAUGUUACUUGGUAAUGAAUUGGAAUGCAUACUGUGAUAGUAUUACCCUAAAACCGCUAAAUUUGGUGAUUUGGAGUGUAGGCUUGCUGCUUUUUGGGCAU